rnacentral:rRNA from 1 species
AGUGAACGCUGGCGGUAGGCCUAACACAUGCAAGUCGAACGGCAGCACAGUAAGAGCUUGCUCUUACGGGUGGCGAGUGGCGGACGGGUGAGGAAUACAUCGGAAUCUACUUUUUCGUGGGGGAUAACGUAGGGAAACUUACGCUAAUACCGCAUACGACCUACGGGUGAAAGCAGGGGAUCUUCGGACCUUGCGCGAUUGAAUGAGCCGAUGUCGGAUUAGCUAGUUGGCGGGGUAAAGGCCCACCAAGGCGACGAUCCGUAGCUGGUCUGAGAGGAUGAUCAGCCACACUGGAACUGAGACACGGUCCAGACGCCUACGGGAGGCAGCAGUGGGGAAUAUUGGACAAUGGGCGCAAGCCUGAUCCAGCCAUACCGCGUGGGUGAAGAAGGCCUUCGGGUUGUAAAGCCCUUUUGUUGGGAAAGAAAAGCAGCAGGUUAAUACCCCGCUGUUCGGACGGUACCCAAAGAAUAAGCACCGGCGAACUUCGU